UAUAGAAAUAGACCGUGAGGGUGGUACCGGCGCGUAUGAUGACUGCUGUAAUGACUGAGCCGCCAGUUGAAUACACCGAAAGCAGGAACGCGUCAAGCAGAAGGAACAAGGGUCGUUCGGGUAGUACCACCAUACAGCUAUUGGAAACGAAGGACCAUCCGACAGGCGCAAAAUCAUUCCCAGCCCCCGUUGUGGAGGUGCGAUCACGAUCAGUUACUAUAGAAAGGCCUUCCCGUUCGAAAUUGCCGUGACUAAGGCUUUUUGGCUAAUACAAAAAAGAGCAUACAAGCUGCAUCUAAUGUCGAACAACAAGGACUCCCUUCGAAUUUUUCAUAGCGAAAAGGUUAUACCAGAUGAAUCUGUGGUAUAUUUGUAUGAUGGCAGUAAUCAUUUGUCAACAAAUGUAUUCCUGCGUAGACAAAAAACACAUGGUAGUCUCCUUCAGUGCGC